CUAAGCUAAGGACCCUGGGACUAAACACCUCCCUCUGCAACUGGAUCCUGGACUUCCUGACGGGCCACCCCCAGGUGGUAAGGACCAUUUCCGGAGACCUUCUCCCCUUCCUCACCUCGCUCAUCAACUCAUCCUUGACCGCUGGCUACGUCCCUUCCGUCUUCAAGAGAGCGAGAGUUGCACCCCUUCUGAAAAAACCUACACUCGAUCCCUCCGAUGUCAACAACUACAGUCCAGUAUCCCUUCUUUCUUUUCUCUCCAAAACUCUUGAACGUGCCGUCCUUGGCCAGCUCUCCUGCUAUCUCUCUCAG
rnacentral:lncRNA from 1 species